ACCGGGUAUGUUGGUGCACACCUGUAAUCCCAGCAGCUUGGGAGGCUGAGGCAGGAGAAUCACAAGUUCAAAGCCAAACUCAGUAAUUUAUCAAGGCACUUGGAAACUCAGUGAGACCCUGUCACUA
rnacentral:sRNA from 1 species